rnacentral:ribozyme from 1 species
UGCCCAGCAACUCCUAGCCCUACCUCCUUGCGGUACCGGCCGGAAACUAGGAGCAACCUUAGGGAAGAUCGGG